GACGAACGCUGGCGGCGUGCCUAAUACAUGCAAGUAGAACGCACAGUUUAUACCGUAGCUUGCUACACCAUAGACUGUGAGUUGCGAACGGGUGAGUAACGCGUAGGUAACCUGCCUGGUAGCGGGGGAUAACUAUUGGAAACGAUAGCUAAUACCGCAUAAUAUUAAUUAUUGCAUGAUAAUUAAUUGAAAGGUGCAAUUGCACCACUACCAGAUGAACCUGCGUUGUAUUAGCUAGUAGGUGAGGUAACGGCUCACCUAGGCGACGAUACAUAGCCGACCUGAGAGGGUGAUCGGCCACACUGGGACUGAGACACGGCCCAGACUCCUACGGGAGGCAGCAGUAGGGAAUCUUCGGCAAUGGACGAAAGUCUGACCGAGCAACGCCGCGUGAGUGAAGAAGGUUUUCGGAUCGUAAAGCUCUGUUGUAAGAGAAGAACGGGUGUGAGAGUGGAAAGUUCACACUGUGACGGUAUCUGACCAGAAAGGGACGGCUAACUACGUG
rnacentral:rRNA from 1 species